rnacentral:rRNA from 1 species
UACGGGGGGGGGCAAGCGUUGUUCGGAAUUACUGGGCGUAAAGGCUCGUAGGCGGCCAACUAAGUCAGACGUGAAAUCCCUCGGCUUAACCGGGGAACUGCAUCUGAUACUGGAUGGCUUGAGUUCGGGAGAGGGAUGCGGAAUUCCAGGUGUAGCGGUGAAAUGCGUAGAUAUCGGGAGGAACAUCAGUGGCGAAGGCGGCCAUCUGGAUCAACACUGACGCUGAGGCACGAAAGCGUGGGGAGCAAACAGG